CUCAAAUGAAGAGAACCUAAAGACUUCACCUGCUAUAAAGCAAGGACUGUAUGCAAUUCUAACUUAAAGAAAGAUUUGACGGACUCUGUACCAAAUCCUCUGCUUUUCUUUACAUCUUUGAAUUUCCUUUUAACACCCCCACAGAGUCAGAGAGUAAUAUAGCAAGACCAGAUUUAGAUGUGUGUGAUGUUAUUUACCACUGUUAAAAUGAACACAUGUAAAAG